rnacentral:rRNA from 1 species
AACGCGAAGAACCUUACCUGGGCUUGACAUGUUAGUCGUAGACUUGUGAAAGCUUGUCGUCACUUCGGGUGGACUAUCACAGGUGCUGCAUGGCUGUCGUCAGCUCGUGUCGUGAGAUGUUGGGUUAAGUCCCGUAACGAGCGCAACCCCUAUGAACUGUUGCCAGCGGGUAAUGCCGGGGACUCUGUUCAGACUGCCCAGAUUAACUGGGAGGAAGGAGGGGAUGACGUCAAGUCAGCAUGCCCCUUACACCCUGGGCUACACACGUGCUACAUUGGGCGAGACAAUGAGAUGCAAAUCUGCAAAGACUAGCUAAUCUAUAAACUCGUUCUAAGUUCGGAUUGUAGGCUGCAACUCGCCUACAUGAAGUUGGAAUCGCUAGUAAUCGCUGGUCAGCUAUACAGUGGUGAAUUCGUUCCCGGGUCUUGUACACACCG